AUUGCUAAUAGCGACAGUAAGGCUGAAACGGAAACCUAGUGGACUGACCGUUGACCGAGGACAGUGUCUGACUGGCGCCGGCCGGGAAAUGGAUGAGACUCUCUCGGCACGGGAGGAAAACAGGCUUGGGAUAAACACGACCUGGUUUUUCCAUCUUGCAACACAGUCAGCCCCACUUGGACCAGGAGCGGGACUGGAUGCCUGAGGCAGACCCAGGAGAGGACACAGUAUCCUAUUGUGCAUUACAAAGAAGUCUACAGGGAGCUGCGGAGAUUUACUUUUCCACAGUAUGAUUCAUAGCCAGUUUUUGUUGGGGUUCAUCUCUGGUGCCAGUCUGCUGCCGUGCCCUUUCUUAUACUCAGAUCCUGGUCAUCUGAUGCACUUGUAACGCAAGUAAUUGAGCUGCUGUGUCAUUCUUAGAUGUGCUGGCCAUGACUCACUGGUUCUUCUCAUUGGUCUCGGUGCCAGCAAACGGUCUGCAUCUUCUUGAAUUUUUGGUUCUUUCUCUCUCUCUCUCUCUGGAAAGAGCUAGAACCCCAGGUUUUACAGGACAACAGAACCAGCUCAAACACGGACCUUAGCAGUGUACAGAUUAAAAAAUGCUGUUUUGUUUCACUUCACGGUGCAUGUCAUGAAACAGGUGGGUGUUCUGUUACACAUUAAGUAACCAAAAGUCAAGGUGAUGAUUAUCAGACAUUUUUUUAUGCAGUUUCAACACCACACCUAAACAUGAAAGGCAGUGUCUCGAACAAACUGCAGAAGUUUACGCAGGCAAAAGACGUUUUUAUCGUGUGUUACUAAGAAACCACAGUUCUCCGUAUCAGAUGGCCACCAGAAGAACAGAUAUGUGCCCUGAAGAGUUGGAAUUUGUUUUCCUUUGCCAGAACAAAAAGGAAUAGGUUACACAACUAACUGCCUUUUUCUGUCUUAUUGUUGUUAGAACCAUUACAAUCUGGAUCUAUAGGGACAGUGUGCUCUAAAACAUGUCCGUCACUAAGCAGUUUGGCAAGAAACUGGAAAAGGGCGUCUCUCUGAGGGGAAAUUUUUCUUCACUCUAAUCAGAUAGGAUCGGCCAUUUUUAUUUGUUGUGUUAGGUUCAGUUAUGUGGUUAAAUGCGUUCAAUAUGUUGAUCCAUGUCAUUGUCAUAAUCUGAUAUUGGAACAGUGAGAGCAGUCUCGAGUCUGAUUGUUUGCUUUCACCUGCAUCAUUCAAAUCGAUUAUAAAAACUAUACUCAAAAGUGAUGACAGUAAUGUUUUUUUAUUUUUUUUAUUUUCUAAUUUCAGAUAUGGAAGUGGUUUCCAAAUGUUUUUUUCUUAAAGGCAUCCUCCCCAGGGAACUGGUUUCAGAUGGUGUCUUAGAGUAAAAAAUCCAGUCUAGCACCAUUUGAAAUCGGUGUUCUUGAGCGGGAACAGACGUCAGGAAAAUGAAGACAGCGUACGACCUCGUUCGCUGAGUUGUCAGAAGGUUUAGGAUUGUUUGGUGACAAUGUUUGCAUCUGUAUUUUUACAAACUGUUCCAGAAAUAUGUUACAUUCAGUCAACUGAACACAUAACGGGAUAUUUAAAAAAAAAACAACUCGACCAGUUCAGACAGCUCACGUUCCACUCAUCUGAAGAGAACAGCGUGAAAGUUCAGUCUUCUGACCACCUGAGACCCCUCUCACCAAGGCUGACCGUUUUCCUCUGGUGUUCAGAGUUUCCAUCAUGUCUAGCACCAUUUGAAAUCGGUUACAAUGUGGAGGGAAUAUCAACAAAGAUUAUGGUUCAGCAGCUUCACGAUGCAUUUCCUUAAAUUACCAGAAGAUGGCAGCAUUGAGCUAUCGUCCCUGCCAUCAUCUAGGGCCAAUGUUUGAUAGUUGGAGUCGCUGAAGCGGUGAAUGGUGACCCUGAGGAAAAAAAAACUCAAAGGAGCUCUUCUUCUUUUAUCAUGUUAUCUGUUUAAAUGCCUCAGUAGUUCAGCAGUUGCGUAUCUGCCCAGUGCAGAAGUGUCAGAUUUAUGUGGUUUUUUCCUUAGAUUUAGUUUUACUUUUUAAUGAAAUAAAACUAGUUUUACU